GAAGAUGAGGCCACUGGGAGGUAACUACUAGACAUAAGAAGGUGGAGUCCUCACCAAUGGGAUUAGUGCCCUUACAAAAGGGACCCCAGGUCUGGGUGCGGUGGCUCAUGCCUGUAAUCGCAGCACUUUGGGAGGCCAAGUUACCUUGAACUUCAUGGAGUAUUGGAAGACUCAGUUUCAUCACUUUCAACUUUCAAGAAUCAUCUCAAAUAUUGCAUUUUCUAAUACCACAGGCAAAAGACAUUGAUGAUCCAUCAAGACAGAUUCUUGAUUAAAAUUUAAAAAAUACAUUUCUACAUGUGUUGAAUUAAAAAUUAGGACCAGUAACCCAUAGAAAUAUACAUAUAUCUCCAAACUUAACAUGUGAUGUCUUUAAUGUUGAUAAAACUAUAUUAUCUAUGUACAUAAGAAUCAUAAAAAUGAAUACCAAGAUUCUACGCAAAGAAGAACAGUAAUUCUUUCUUUGAGAGUACUAAAAAUGUUCUCAAUAAAAAGGGAAGAAAAACAAGCUAUCAAAAUAAAGUCUCACUGAUAUGCUA